AAUUAUCAUUGUGUCAGUGGUUAAUUAUCGUAAUUUAUAAUCAUAAGAUGGUGAGACCUUUGGAGGAUAAAAUGGAAAAUAAAAUUAGGUUCGGACAAGGAAUUCUACUUGGAUAUUGCAAAAAUAGGAAAAAAAAGGGAAUGAAUAACUGGCAACACAAACCCGUUUUCCUUUCUCUAAUCCUGAAGGAACCUGCCUCCUGGACAACAUCAAGAGGAUGGCUCUCACAGUAUGUUUAUAGCAAGUACACGUCACUUUCCCACCGCCAUCGUUGAACAUACUCACGUUCAUGUGCAUACAACGCAGUAUUUCUUCAGAUAAGUAAACAUAUUAGUGAGACAUUUUCAAGAAAUGAAGAUAUAUUCUGUUUACAGUAUUUCUCUCUAAUACCGGGCUUAUCCAAAAGCAUAUUAAGAUAAUUGGACAUGACAUUGGAAAUACAAUGGGCUGUCGCUGCCCUUCCCAUACCCAAGUCUUUAUAAUCUGUCUACUCGAAAACCCAAG